GACGAACGCUGGCGGCGUGCUUAACACAUGCAAGUCGAACGGAAAGGCCCUGCUUUUGUGGGGUGCUCGAGUGGCGAACGGGUGAGUAACACGUGAGUAACCUGCCCUUGACUUUGGGAUAACUUCAGGAAACUGGGGCUAAUACCGGAUAUGAGCUCCUGCUGCAUGGUGGGGGUGGGAAAGUUUCGUCGGUUGGGGAUGGACUCGCGGCUUAUCAGCUUGUUGGUGGGGUAGUGGCUUACCAAGGCUUUGACGGGUAGCCGGCCUGAGAGGGUGACCGGCCACAGUGGGACUGAGAUACGGCCCAGACUGCUACGGGAGGCAGCAGUGGGGAAUAUUGCACAAUGGGCGGAAGCCUGAUGCAGCAACGCCGCGUGCGGGAUGACGGCCUUCGGGUUGUAAACCGCUUUCGCCUGUGACGAAGCGUGAGUGACGGUCAUGGGUAAAGAAGCACCGGCUAACUACGUG
rnacentral:rRNA from 1 species